AUGCAGAGCUGUCUACCACCUGUGCCAUCUCUGAUGCUGAAGUGGGCUGUUGGCAAGCUUGUCUGCCUGGGUGCCACUGAUCCAAGCCAAGUCAGUCCUGAGGUCACAAGAAAGGGCCAGAGGCUGUUUACUCUCCCAUUACCAGUGAAAGCUAGCAUACGCAAGCAGCCACUUCCCAUCGAUUACCUACCUGGAAAGCAGCCGCCAGAUGAGCAAUGUCACGUGAGGGCACAGGCGACAGAAUAUUUCUGGAGAAACCACACAGCUCUCCUGUCUGGCCG